rnacentral:sRNA from 25 species
GUCAGUAACCCAGCCCUAAAGGGACUGGGCUUGCAAGAGUAAUCAAGCAAGCCGUGCUGACCAGACCACCCUGAGUUUACUCUCAUCGUAGCCGUUAUUUGAGUCACGACACCCACCGAAUGCGUUGCCCCUUCGGGGUUCAGCAGUCGCUCAUGGGGGAAACCCCCAAAACCGCGCUGCUUCACUAGUUCCCCGCUCUGUC